rnacentral:snRNA from 1 species
GGAUAUGAGGGCAAUCAGGCUGUAAUAUCUGCAGUCACCCAUUGAUUUCUAGGGCUGAUUCACCUGAUCUGGCUAGAUAGGCAGGGAUCUCUUUCCUCCCUCUCUCUCUUUGUACAUUCUCCCCUCCACAGUUGCUGUGUCAAAGAGGAUGACCUUACCUGAU